UAGCCGUAAACGAUACUCGCUAGGUGUCGGCCACGGUGCGACCGUUGUCGGUGCCGUAGGGAAGCCGUGAAGCGAGCCACCUGGGAAGUACGGCCGCAAGGCUGAAACUUAAAGGAAUUGGCGGGGGAGCACCACAACGGGUGGAGCUUGCGGUUUAAUUGGAUUCAACGCCGGAAAUCUUACCGGGACCGACAGCAACAUGAAGGCCAGGCUGAAGACUUUGCCGGAUUAGCUGAGAGGAGGUGCAUGGCGUAGACGUC
rnacentral:rRNA from 1 species